rnacentral:rRNA from 1 species
UACAGAGGGUGCAAGCGUUGUUCGGAAUUAUUGGGCGUAAAGGGCGCGUAGGCGGUGCGGUAAGUCUGCGGUGAAAUCUCCCGGCUCAACUGGGAGUCUGCCGUGGAAACUGCCGUGCUUGAGUGUGGGAGAGGUGAGUGGAAUUCCCGGUGUAGCGGUGAAAUGCGUAGAUAUUGGGAGGAACACCAGUGGCGAAGGCGGCUCACUGGACCGGAACUGACGCUGAUGCGCGAAAGCGUGGGGAGCAAACGGG